GACGAACGCUGGCGGCGUGCUUAACACAUGCAAGUCGAACGGAAAGGCCUCUUUCGGGGGGUACUCGAGUGGCGAACGGGUGAGUAACACGUGAGUAACCUGCCCUUGACUUUGGGAUAACUUCAGGAAACUGGGGCUAAUACCGGAUAGGAGCUCCUGCUGCAUGGUGGGGGUUGGAAAGUUUCGGCGGUUGGGGAUGGACUCGCGGCUUACCAGCUUGUUGGUGGGGUAGUGGCUUACCAAGGCUUUGACGGGUAGCCGGCCUGAGAGGGUGACCGGCCACAUUGGGACUGAGAUACGGCCCAGACUCCUACGGGAGGCAGCAGUGGGGAAUAUUGCACAAUGGGUGGAAGCCUGAUGCAGCAACGCCGUGUGCGGGAUGACGGCCUUCGGGUUGUAAACCGCUUUCGCUCAUGACGAAGCUUUGUGUGACGGUAGUGGGUAAAGAAGCACCGGCUAACUACGUG
rnacentral:rRNA from 1 species